rnacentral:rRNA from 1 species
CAUGGAGGGUGAGAAUCCCGUUCGGUUAACCAAAGCGCUUUACGAUACGCUCUCAAAGAGUCGAGUUGUUUGGGAUUGCAGCUCAAAAUGGGAGGUAAAUUUCUCCUAAGGCUAAAUACCGGCGAGAGACCGAUAGCGAACAAGUACCGUGAGGGAAAGAUGAAAAGAACUUUGAAAAGAGAGUUAAACAGUACGUGAAAUUGUUGAAAGGGAAACGAUUAAAGUCAGUCGUACCUACGAGUGAUCAACCUACUCGAGUGCGAUUUUGUGGGUAUGUUAGAGCUUAAAAACCUUCAUGCUUACAAAUUGGUGCUCUUUGGGCGUACUUUCUCGUAUGGUAGGUUAACAUCAAUUUCGAUCGUUAUAAAAUGACUGGAGGAAUGUAGCUUCGACCUCGGUUGAAGUGUUAUAGCCUUUGGUAGAUGUAAUGAUUGGGAUUGAGGAUUGCAACGGAUACCCUCUGGGCUAUUCGUCUGAUCUCUGGAAGUUACCUUGGUGUCGAAAGCGUGCUUACGAUAUUAAGGUUGACGGCCAAUAGGUUAGAACGUGAUUAAAUUCGUUAAGGAUGUUGACGUAAUGG